UUUUCUUUCAAUAAGAAAUCUUUAGAAUCCAAUUGGCACUCAUUUGCGGUUCAGCAGUUGUCGUCGAUCGUUAAGAGUUAAUCUACGUUCUACAAAUCCGAUCGUUCUGCGUGACAAAAACCUCGUUGUAAAUAUUAAUAGCAAGCGAUAAAAUGAAAACACGGAAAUCUGUUUUCUGCGAUUAUUCCGAUUAAAGGAUCCAGGUUCUCGCAAAAGACGAACUUUCUCGGAAAAGCUCGGUGAGGGCGAGCGGUGGUGGCGCGGUGUCGCGAUGCUCGGAACCCAGCCAACAACAGGCCGUGGCUUGUACCAAUGUAUUUAGGGCUUCGACGCGUCGUGGCUUCUCCGCGAGCAAGGCGAGCACACGUCAGGUGUCCGAUACCGAGCCGAUCGGCGAAUUAAUUUGUCAAACGCUGUUUGCCGAAAACCGAGCAAACUAAAAGGUAUCCGAUCCAAGUUUUCCUACUCAAUUAUUCCAGUUUGAUACAGAAUUGCAACUAAAUUGCCUCAACGAGGACGAUUAACCAAAAAAAAAGCAGAGAAAACAAAGAGCAGUAGCCAAACAGAAAUGACUGCAAAAUAUUUCAUCGACCGCAAGUCGUUCGUUCACCCGUGAAAAAAGAAACGAAAUACGAUCCUCGCUCGAUGGUCUCAGAAAAAAGGCACGAGACGAUUAUCCUGGAAGGAGAAAGCAAUGGUCCGGCAAAAACGAGACGCACACAGUCUAGCGACGAGUUGGCUCAGUGUACAUCGGUGAACGGAUCGAUUGUCGAUCUGCGAAACUUUAUACACAAGGAAAGUAUGGCGAGAAGACGAAGAAUAGCUUUCGCGAUGAAGAGCAGAGUGAUCGACGUCGAAAACACGAUGCUGACGAUACACGAAGCGUUUAAAAAUACACCGUGGCGGCCAGUCGGGCACGGCACGUGGCAAUGAACAAUUUUCCCGUACCCUCAUGAUCGAAGGGUCGUUCACACCUGCGAAUUUUCCUGAUGACGAGGCGGAUCGGCUAAGGCCAAUAGAGGGAGAGAGAAUGCGGCGCGCCUAGUCACGUAGCUGAUCAGACAAGAAUGGAAUCGGUUGGAGCUUAAACUGCGGGGCUCGAGCAAGGUUCCGAGACGUUCAAAAUUGGAUGAUUCGUAGGCGUGGACCUAGAAACCCGUCGGUGUAUUUCCAUCGCGACAAACGUUCGUCGAUCCACCCUGUCCCAAUGGAGACCAUCGAACGCGAUUACCUUUGUCAAGAUGAAAAUCAUUGUCAGAUUAACCACUUUGCAGUGAGAAUUUUAUUUCAAUUUCGUUAGCAGUAGCUGCCAACGCUUUUAAGUGUUUUAUUUGAAAUUUACUUUGACUAAAAAAUAAGAGAAUUUAAAUAAAUAAAGGAAGAAAGAAAUUCACUUAAAUACCAGUUUUAUUCACACUGUUGUUGUAUUUUGUGAUAAUUAAGUGUAUGACAUAUCUUGAAACAAUUUCCAGGAUGCAAUCCUGCUUUUCUUUCGCACAUUUCACAAAAAAUGGUGGACAUGAAAGAAUGUCGAGUGGGACUCGACAAAGGAGCUGCUGAGAUAAAAACUGAUGUCGAGUCACACUCGACAUAGCAGUGCAAAGGGUUAAGGCUACGGUUAUGGCGACGCCCGAACAAUCAGAUAUAUAGAUCCUUGUGAGAGUAGCUACAUCGUUCUUGAAAUGUUUCAUUUCAACGACAGUUGGCUGAAACAAGCAUCUGCUGUUUAAACCAUAGUUUAAGUAGAUCGGGGUGAUCAGGUAAAUUAGGAUACAUCUUUGUGAAUAGGAAUGUAAUUAAAAUUUGGAACUCUGUUGGCGGAGCUUUACGAGAGAUGUUCAAACUUCGCACUCCCUUCCGGUUCCGUUAUAACGAUGUUAAAUAAUGCAAGGAAACGUUUCACUGU